GGGCCCGUAGCCCAGCCUGGAUAGGGCGACAGCCUUCUAAGCUGUAGGUCGAGGGUUCAAAUCCCUCCAGGCCCA
rnacentral:tRNA from 1 species